rfam:Canis lupus familiaris chromosome 13, whole genome shotgun sequence.
GUCUACGGCCAUACCACCCUGAACGCACCUGAUCUCGUCUGAUCUCGGAAGCUAAGCAGGGUCGGGCCUGGUUAGUACUUGGAUGAAAAUGCACUAGUAUAGUUCAGAAAGUAAACA